GUACACACCGCCCGUCACACCAUGGGAGUUGGCGGCACCAGAAGCGGGUAGCUCAACCUUCGGGAGGGCGCUUGCCRCGGUGUGGUCAAUGACUGGGGUGAAGUCGUAACAAGGUAGCCGUAGGUGAACCUGCAGAAGGAUCA
rnacentral:rRNA from 1 species